UAAAAAAUAGGUCUCAGUUCGGAUCGUAGGCUGCAACCCGCCUGCGUGAAGUUGGAAUUGCUAGUAAUCGCGGAUCAGCAUGCCGCGGUGAAUACGUUCCCGGGCCUUGUACACACCGCCCGUCACACCAUGGGAGCCGGUAAUGCCCGAAGUCAGUAGCCUAACCGCAAGGAGGGCGCUGCCGAAGGUAGGAUUGGCGACUGGGGUGAAGUCGUAACAAGGUAAC
rnacentral:rRNA from 1 species